UAGGACAUCUAAACAGCCACAGACACAGGUAAACAGGUAGGCCAUCUAAACAGCCAGAGGUAAACAGGUAAACAGGUAGGCCAUCUAAACAGCCACAGACACAGGUAAACAGGUAGGCCAUCUAAACAGCCACAGACACAGGUAAACAGGUAGGCCAUCUAAACAGCCACAGACACAGGUAAACAGGUAGGCCAUCUAAACAGCCACAGGUAAACAGGUAGGCCAUCUAAACAGCCACAGACACAGGUAAACAGGUAGGACAUCUAAACAGCCACAGACACAGGUAAACAGGUAGGACAUCUAAACAGCCACAGACACAGGUAAACAGGUAGGCCAUCUAAACAGCCACAGACACAGGUAAACAGGUAGGCCAUCUAAACAGCCACAGACACAGGUAAACAGGUAGGCCAUCUAAACAGCCACAGACACAGGUAAACAGGUAGGCCAUCUAAACAGCCACAUGUAGACAGGUAGGCCAUCUAAACAGCCACAGAUAGACAGGUAGGCCAUCUAAACAGCCACAGAUAGACAGGUAGGCCAUCUAAACAGCCACAGAUAGACAGGUAGGCCAUCUAAACAGCCACAGAUAGACAGGUAGGCCAUCUAAACAGCCACAGAUAGACAGGUAGGCCAUCUAAACAGCCACAGAUAGACAGGUAGGCCAUCUAAACAGCCACAGAUAGACAGGUAGGCCAUCUAAACAGCCACAGAUAGACAGGUAGGCCAUCUAAACAGCCACAGAUAGACAGGUAGGCCAUCUAAUCAGACACAGAUAGACAGGUAGGCCAUCUAAACAGCCACA